rnacentral:rRNA from 1 species
UACGGAGGAUGCGAGCGUUAUCCGGAUUUAUUGGGUUUAAAGGGUGCGUAGGCGGUCUGUUAAGUCAGCGGUAAAAUUGCGGGGCUCAACCCCGUCCGGCCGUUGAAACUGGGGGCCUUGAGUGGGCGAGAAGAAGGCGGAAUGCGUGGUGUAGCGGUGAAAUGCAUAGAUAUCACGCAGAACCCCGAUUGCGGAGGCAGCCUUCCGGCGCCCUACUGACGCUGAGGCACGAAAGUGCGGGGAUCGAACAGG